UACGUAGGGGGCUAGCGUUGUCCGGAAUCAUUGGACGUAAAGCGCGUGUAGGCGGUCCGGUAAGUCCGCUGUGAAAGUCGGGGGCUCAACCCUCGAAUGCCGGUGGAUACUGUCGGGCUAGAGUGCGGAAGAGGCGAGUGGAAUUCCUGGUGUAGCGGUGAAAUGCGCAGAUAUCAGGAGGAACACCAAUUGCGAAGGCAGCUCGCUGGGACGUUACUGACGCUGAGACGCGAAAGCGUGGGGAGCAAACAGG
rnacentral:rRNA from 1 species